rnacentral:tRNA from 1 species
UCGGGGGUCGUCUAAUGGCAGGACAGUGGACUUUGACUCCACUAAUCGGGGUUCGAAUCCCUGCCCCCGAG